rnacentral:lncRNA from 1 species
UGUGUCAGGUGAAGCAAUGCUCCUUGCAGGCUGUUGCACCAGUGUCAGGCUCUUUCCACAUGAACAGGUACCACCACCAUCAUCUGGUGGUCUCAACCAUGCAUGGAGCCAGAAUGCCAGAGGGAGAUGUACUCUAGGUGUCCCAGCAGGAAUUUCCUGCUUUCUCAGCAGCUCACAGAUGAAGAGUUCACAGCCACUGUGGUUACACAGCUGAUCCGUAGCCAUCCCAGUGCUGGAAGAUGCUGCUGGCUUGCAGGAGGGUUUCUGAGUCUCCAGAUGUGCAUGUUGCAUACUCUAGGAGGGCAGCUGAAGGGCUGAAGCAGAAGGCACCAGAGAUUCUCACUUGCAGUGAAGCACCACUGUCUGCUGUCAUGGGGGAGGGAUAUAAAUGACGUCCUGUGUCUGCCUACUAGAGAUUCCUAGACUGCCCCUUCUGAUCUUCCAUUUACACAUGCAUUUCUGUCUCUUCCCCUCAUACUUGAAUUUUUAUAUGGAUAGCACACAACAAAAGUUUUGAAUUUUGCUGCUGUGGGUCCAGCUACAAAUAGGUUCUGCUUUUGUAUAUUUUUUCCUAUGGAGUAAGGGAGCAGGGUUUACCCUAGUUUGGUGUAUAAUUUCUUGGAUAGAGUAAUGGGCACAGGGGCCUAUACAGGUGGCCUGCACAUGCUCUGAAACCAUUUGCUUGGGACUUGAGACAUCCGCAUCCGUGGCUGUAGAGAUUUGUAUGUCCAAGGCAUCUGGCCAAAUUCCUCUUUCAUCACUUGGAAAUCAACUUUCAGGUGGAAAAAGAGGUCAUUCCUGGGGAAGGCGGGACAUAUGACAGCUCUUAGAUGAAGGUUAAAUUGUGGAUUUGCAAAAAAAAUCCCAAUACUUGAAGAAGUGCUGCUUAAAUCCCUGCUGCAUAAAGGCUUAUUCAUGUCCUUUCUGUAGGUAGAGGGCUAUAUGUAUGUGUAGGCUUCUUUAGUACACCUCUGUGUUUGCUUUCUAUCACCUGAAUCCAGCCCGUUUUUUGCUGUUAUUUUGGUUUUAAAUUACUAUCCUAAAGUACUUUAAAUGUAAAAGAACAUAUUGAUUUUUAAAGCAUUAUAUUGUUGUUUUUCUGUUUUAUUAAAAAACAAAACCAGCACCAGCUUAACGUAUUUCACAGCUUGUGUCCUGGGCCUGAAAGCUCUGCAGAUACAAAUAUGAUCACAAAGGAGAGAAAAAAAUGUAUUGAAAUGUAAAGGAUCUGUAUUACUAGAUGAGUGGAAAAUUAGCAUGGUAGCUAUUUCACUGCUUUCUCACCCAAUGUAUAUAUAUCUUACUCUCUG